rnacentral:piRNA from 1 species
UAGGAUCUUCUGGUUCUAUGGUAAAUGUC